rnacentral:misc_RNA from 1 species
UCACUCAUGCUGGCGUCUACGGUUCAUUCACCAAUCACCGAACAUAAGUUUGACGCCAUUUUGUCUCUCUUGUAAAAGCAGUGGUCAAGAUAGACCCUGCUACAUAGAAAGGAAAGGAAAGGAACAUCCUUUUCAAUCAAGACCAUCUUACAGACUUAUUUAAAAAUACACAAUGUCUGGCAAUUGGAAUAAUAACCGUGGAGGGAAUGGUGGUUCCAAAUUCGGCAAUGGCGCAUCUAGAUUUGGCGGUGGUGGUGGUUCUAGAUUUGGUGGCGGCGGCGGUGGAGGUUUUGGCAAUAAAAAAGAAUUCUCUGGAGGACAAAACAUGAGACGUCCAAACUGGGAUUCUCUUUCUCUACAGCCAUUUAACAAAGAUUUUUACAAUCCACCUCCAUCAGUUCUAAAUAGAUCACCAUAUGAAGUGGAAACAUACAGAAAUGACCAUGAGAUCACUGUGAGCGGCGUCGAUGUACCUUACCCCAUUCAGCACUUUGAAGAGGGCAGUUUUCCUGAUUAUGUCAUGCAAACCAUCAAGAGUUCUGGCUACAAAGACCCAACACCUAUCCAAGCGCAAGGGUGGCCAAUUGCCAUGUCUGGGCAUAACUUAGUGGGUAUUGCUCAGACUGGCUCUGGAAAAACUUUAGCAUACAUUUUACCAGCUAUUGUGCAUAUAAACAACCAACCACCUGUGCGCCGAGGUGAUGGGCCCAUUGCCCUCGUGUUGGCACCAACGAGAGAGUUGGCACAGCAGAUUCAGCAAGUUGCUGCUGAUUUUGGCAAUGCAGCUUAUGUCAGAAACACUUGUAUAUUUGGUGGGGCACCCAAACGUGAGCAAGCUCGGGACUUGGAGCGAGGGGUGGAAAUAGUAAUUGCCACACCUGGAAGAUUGAUAGAUUUUCUGGAAAAGGGGACAACUAAUUUGCAGAGAUGCACUUACUUAGUGCUUGAUGAAGCUGAUCGUAUGUUGGACAUGGGUUUUGAACCUCAAAUAAGAAAAAUUAUAGAACAAAUUCGUCCUGAUAGACAAACUUUAAUGUGGUCUGCAACAUGGCCCAAGGAAGUUAGAAAAUUAGCUGAAGACUAUCUGGGUGAUUAUUUGCAAAUCAAUAUUGGAUCUAUGCAGUUGUCUGCCAACCACAACAUUCUACAGAUUGUAGAUAUAUGCCAAGAGCAUGAAAAAGAGAAUAAAUUAAAUGUUCUACUUCAAGAGAUUGGACAAAGUCAAGAACCUGGAGCAAAGACUAUCAUAUUUGUUGAGACCAAGAGGAAAGUAGAAAAUAUAACUAGAAAUAUAAGACGGUACGGCUGGCCGGCUGUAUGCAUGCACGGUGACAAAACACAACAAGAGAGAGACGAUGUACUGUAUCAAUUCAAGCAAGGCAGAGCGAGCAUACUUGUUGCAACAGAUGUCGCAGCUAGAGGACUUGAGGCACUGGCGGAAAGUUAUUGUGUUCUAUUUGAUUACUAUAACAAGUUACUGCACUGGAUUUGUAGAUAAGAAUUAGUCUGAUGCAGUUCUUUGGAGAAUGCAAUAACUCGUCAUAAAUGGUGCCUCGUUGUGCCUUUCACUGUGACUGGACCCACGGCCGGAAUACUGGAGAGUAUGUCCGUAUAUUCGGAUACACUUGAAAGUGUGGAAAACCUGGUGAUGCACACCAUGAGUAACUUUGAACAAUUGCUAAGAUAUUAUAGAAAGGAGUGCAUUGUUGAAAAACUUGACCACAAGUUGAAUCAUUGGCAAGAGGUCAAGGGUUUUCUGUUUCGGCCACCGGAGUUUUCAAGAGGGCAAAGAGAAUUUUUUAUAUAUGAAUCGAACUUAUUUUCGCCCAUUGCAAGACUCCAGGGUUCCGAGUGAGAGGCAAUAUUUAAUUUGGUACAUAUGUGUAACUUGAUUCAUAUGUGGAUGGAAUCAAGUAUGUAAUUAACUUUGAUUAUCCUAACUCAUCGGAGGACUACAUACACCGAAUUGGAAGAACAGGUCGGUCAAAA